AGAGUUUGAUCAUGGCUCAGGACGAACGCUGGCGGCGUGCUUAACACAUGCAAGUCGAACGGAAAGGCCCUUCGAGGUACUCGAGUGGCGAACGGGUGAGUAACACGUGGGUGAUCUGCCCUGCACUUUGGGAUAAGCCUGGGAAACUGGGUCUAAUACCGAAUAGGACCACGCGCUUCAUGGUGUGUGGUGGAAAGCUUUUGCGGUGUAGGAUGGGCCCGCGGCCUAUCAGCUUGUUGGUGGGGUAAUGGCCUACCAAGGCGACGACGGGUAGCCGGCCUGAGAGGGUGACCGGCCACACUGGGACUGAGAUACGGCCCAGACUCCUACGGGAGGCAGCAGUGGGGAAUAUUGCACAAUGGGCGCAAGCCUGAUGCAGCGACGCCGCGUGAGGGAUGACGGCCUUCGGGUUGUAAACCUCUUUCAAUAGGGACGAAGCGCAAGUGACGGUACCUAUAGAAGAAGCACCGGCCAACUACGUGCCAGCAGCCGCGGUAAUACGUAGAGUGCGAGCGUUGUCCGGAAUUACUGGGCGUAAAGAGCUCGUAGGUGGUUUGUCGCGUUGUUCGUGAAAACUCACAGCUUAACUGUGGGCGUGCGGGCGAUACGGGCAGACUAGAGUACUGCAGGGGAGACUGGAAUUCCUGGUGUAGCGGUGGAAUGCGCAGAUAUCAGGAGGAACACCGGUGGCGAAGGCGGGUCUCUGGGCAGUAACUGACGCUGAGGAGCGAAAGCGUGGGGAGCGAACAGGAUUAGAUACCCCGGUAGUCCAA
rnacentral:rRNA from 1 species